rnacentral:lncRNA from 1 species
AUGAUGUUUAAUUGCAGUGCUUGUUUCCUAGAGGACAAGAAAAGCAGCAGGACAACAGAGUCAGCCUUUGAGCAUCUGCUGUUGCCUACAGUUCUGUGGCGGGCUCCGGUCAGCUGGAAGGUGUUGCUGCCGUUUUCCUCAUCUUUCCAAGCUUUCCAGAUUUUGAUUUUCGUAAGUGUCUUAAGGAAAAUGAAACUUCUUUAAGAUUCUUGCAUUGUUCUGAUGUCUGAAUGUCAGUGUGUUUCACUUUUCAAAUAUAAAGCAUACGAGUCUUGGUUCAGGAAGAAAUGACGUGGUUGUGCAUGCAGCUGUUAGUAUAAAAAGUUAUUGCGGGGGAGUAAUUGCAUAAACAAAGUGGCAAAUGGGCUACAAUGGAGUUAAUACUGAGUAGGGAUUUUUGUAGCCAGGGAGGGCAAUGCUGCUCAUUUUGAGCUAACCCAUACUUAGCUGUUUCAGUUACUGAUAACUGAUCUGGGAUUGUUGUCUCCAUUUUUGACUCAUGAAAUCUUAUUUUGCAUAACACAAAUGCAGAGUGAUGAGUGCAUGUGCUUAAAUUCUUGAGAAAACCACUAAGGAGGCCCCAUUCUCUACUAAUGGAAGUCCUGCUGCUAUUCUUACUCAGCUAGGCUUGACGGAGAGCUGCACUGUAAGUGCUCCCAUUAGCAUCAUGUAGGGGAAAGCAUUUCAGCUAAUGUGCUGUGCUUAUUUCCUCCCAGUGCCCUCCUCUCUUCUUGGCUUGCUCUCCCCCUUCCCCUCCUGGUACAACAGGGGAGGCUGUAGAGAUUAUAUUGCUCAUUGCUAAGUGCUCUGCCCAGUCCUUGGUCUCUGUAGCAUGUUGGUUAUUUUGUCCUGGGGCUGGCAUGAACAGAAUACAAAAUAGGCUUAUUCUAUUAGUUCAUUAAGUUUAUCAGAUUCUCUGAGGCUCCUUAAGUGACAGGGAGCAGCAACACAAAUAUCACAUUUCGCAUGUUUUUGAAUUUUAGGUACAAG